rnacentral:lncRNA from 1 species
CUUCGUCAACCCCCACCCCCAAACCAUCUUCUUCUUCGUCACCCCACCCUAACCAACACAAUUUUUUCAUCACCCUACCUUCAAAUUCCAACCCCAUCCCCAAAUAUAUGAGGGACAGAAUUCAGGCAAUCCAAGCAAAGAUACAACAUACUUUUAGAGAAGGAAAUACAGUAGCAGAUGCUUUAGCAAAUGAAGUAAUCGAUGCAUAGGGGAGCACAGAAUAUCACAAUUUCUAUGAGCUACCAGCAAGAAUCAGAAAGCACAUUAACAUGGAUAAAACACAAAUUCCCAAUCUGAGAAUCAGAACAAGACAGAUUCAGUCACAUGCAUAAUUACAUUCAGAACAAACAGUCGAUUUGUUCGAUUAAGGAGAUGAGAAAUCUAGGGGGUCCCAAAUUUCACAAGUUUGCGAAAACAAAGCAGAGACACAGCAAAUGUUUGAGCAAUUUCAAUAACUACUCUUCUGUGCUAUGUCUAACUAGAUGCUCUAAUUAUCAAAAACGUUCACAAAAAACAGGGGUAGAUAAAACCUCCCUUCAUGACAGGAAAUACUCCUCAAGAUCUGAAAAAUAAUUUCAACAAUACCUGAGAGGAAAAAAUAACAACAUCAGCACAACCAACAUCAGCAUUUCUCAAGGAGAUUGACAAAAACAAGUACAAAAACAGGGGACAGUAAGGAAUUACCAGCACCAACUGAGGAUUCAAACACUUUCGAUUGGAAGCUGAGAUGGACAUGGAUGAGAGGCGGUGCAAAGGACAAGGAAAAAGUGAUGAAAAUCGUUUCUAACGUUUAGGAAAGAGUACUAUUGUUCAUUUUUAGGAAACUUUUCAAUUCUUAUGCAAGGAUUGACCCGGGUCACUUUUAUUUUGGACUGGAGUGUUUUGAGUAUCAAUAAAAGGGGUCAGAAAUGACCCAAAAAUUUUAAUUAAAAAAAAAAAACACUCAUUCCCAAAUAACACAAUUCAUCCUCCACCUUCAUCAAAUCAAUGUCAAUUUUACAAUAUACCUUCAUAUUACCAUUUUUUGAAACAUAAAGGUCACCAAAGAAAGGGACAAUAUUUGUUGGACACUGCAAUCAAAUAAAGGUGAUAAGUUACAAGUAGAACCAAUAGAUAAUAGCAGGAAAAUGAACAGAAGUUUGAAACAUUACCGCAGCUUUAAUGGCGAUUAUACGUGAGAAUUUUUAUUUUUUUUUUAAGAAAAGAUGAUGGGUUACGGAUGAAGAACAUUGUUAGAAGAAAUUAAUUAUUAUGAUAAUUUUGUUGGUGGGAUAAAGU